AAUAUUGCACAAUGGAGGAAACUCUGAUGCAGCGACGCCGCGUGAACGAUGAAGGCCNNNGGGUCNUCAAGUUCUGUCCUGGGNGACNAUAAUGACGGUACCCCAGGAGGAAGCCCCGGCUAACUACGUGCCAGCAGCCGCGGUAAUACGUAGGGGGCGAGCGUUAUCCGGAAUUAUUGGGCGUAAAGGGUGCGUAGGCGGCCUUUUAAGUCAGAUGUGAAAGGCUACGGCUUAACCGUAGUUAGCAUUUGAAACUAAAAGGCUUGAGUGCAGGAGAGGAGAGUGGAAUUCCUAGUGUAGCGGUGAAAUGCGUAGAUAUUAGGAGGAACACCAGUGGCGAAGGCGACUCUCUGGACUGCAACUGACGCUGAGGCACGAAAGCGUGGGGAGCAAACAG
rnacentral:rRNA from 1 species